GAGAACCUCAUCUAUGGCUCUUGGGAAUGGCAUCAUUGCUUGGCUAUUUUGAAUGUACAUAUAUGGACCAAAGACUUGAGGUGGAGAUGAUUGCAGUGGAUUGAACAGAAUUAGUAGUGGAAUAAACCCAGUGGAACUGGGAUGGAAUGAAUAUCUCAUAUGGAAGAGGAAUGAGUAAAGGAACUACCACAGAGAAGGAGAGAAAUGUGAAAGAUGGAGAGGAGGUCUGGAAGUAUGAAAAACAUAUUCUCAUCAUGAAGAAAGAAAAACAUACACAAUUAGAAGGAAAUGAAAACAUUGGAAAUACAAAAAAGGAAAACAUAUGAAGAUAUGAAAAGAAAACAAAAGUGAUCAGGAAAAAGAAAAAGAACCUAUAUGCCCCAGCUGACAGUAGAAGCUGAAGAUGAAGUUGAAGGUGUGGAAGCUGAAGGGAGCUGUGCUUCCCACCCUGUUAUCAAGGAUGACUGUAACACUGGAGGACACAGAAUUUUGGAAAUGACAGAAUCCCACUUGGAAACUAACUUCCCCUUAACAGUUGGAAAGAUGGAACUGCACUCAAUCAGGUUCUUCACUGCAUAUGUGUAGGUGGACUUGAUUCUUGAUUUGGCUGAAGGAAUGCUACUUGAAUGGAGAAAAACAUUAGAUGAAUACUUUGAAAGAGACCAGUCAAGAAAAAGGCAAGAUCAGUCCAUCAAACUGUGAAUACCCUUUGACCAAGCAAAAUCACUACUAGCACUACUACAUCUGUAUCCCAAAGAGAUUAAAGGUAGAGGAAAAGAAAAAUGCCUGUAAAUAUAUACAUACAUACAUAUAUAUACACACACACAAUUUAUAUGUGUGU
rnacentral:lncRNA from 1 species